AGUCCCUGACCCAGAGAGAGUGGCACCUGGUCUGUGGUGCCAGCCUCGUGUAUCAGUCUGGGGCAAAGCAAUUCCUAGUUUAUCGCAGCUUGGCUUCCGGUCUGUGCUGGUGCCUGGUUCAUGUCCUGAACACAUGA
ensembl:snoRNA